UUGUAUUCCGGUGCCAAAGGGCGGCGGCGGUCGUAGUACCGUCUUUGCCCCUAUUAGGCAUGCACAGACCUGUUGUGCGCCUCUGUUCGGAUGUUGAGGCAAAAGGCCUGACGUGCAAGGAACGUCCCAAGCGGAGUAUAGCGCCCAGCGUUGGAAGUUGGCCGUAAACAACCUCCUAAGGGCAUCAAAAGUACUCCUGUGGCUUGCGGAAAAUGGCUCGAUAUCCCACCUGCUCCACUUCGGGUGUAUCAGGGAUGUCACGAAAAUGCAAAAGCGACCGGACGGCCUUACAUAUUCCGAUUUAUGGGAGGGCGAGUGCAGUGGUCCAGUGAGAUGUGUUGACGGAGACGGGAGGCGUACAAUUUGUGUCUGCUAUAAAAAGUAAUGUAACAUGCCUUCUUUUAAUACCUUAUCAGGAUGGAUACCUUCUUAGGAUGCUUUCUCGGGAUGUGGCGGUGCAAAUGGAUGCAAAUCAAAUAAAGU